UACGGGGGGGGGCAAGCGUUGUUCGGAAUUACUGGGCGUAAAGGGCUCGUAGGCGGCCAACUAAGUCAGACGUGAAAUCCCUCGGCUUAACCGAGGAACUGCGUCCGAUACUGGUGGGCUUAAAUCCGGGAGAGGGAUGCGGAAUUCCAGGUGUAGCGGUGAAAUGCGUAGAUAUCUGGAGGAACACCGGUGGCGAAGGCGGCAUCCUGGACCGGAUAGUACGCUGAUGAGCGAAAGCUAGGGGAGCAAACGGG
rnacentral:rRNA from 1 species